rnacentral:rRNA from 1 species
AGAUUAAGUUAUUAAGGGCGCACGGUGGAUGCCUUGGCACUAGAAGCCGAUGAAGGACGUUACUAACGACGAUAUGCUUUGGGUAGCUGUA